rnacentral:rRNA from 2 species
ACGGGAGGCAGCAGUGAGGAAUAUUGGUCAAUGGGCGGAAGCCUGAACCAGCCAAGUCGCGUGAAGGAUGAAGGUAUUAUGUAUUGUAAACUUCUUUAGCAGUGGAGUAAUAAGGGAGUCGUGACUCCUGAUGCAAGUACACUGAAAAUAAGGAUCGGCUAACUCCGUGCCAGCAGCCGCGGUAAUACGGAGGAUCCGAGCGUUAUCCGGAUUUAUUGGGUUUAAAGGGUGCGCAGGCGGCCUUGUAAGUCAGCGGUUAAAUCGUGGAGCUCAACUCCAUCCCGCCGUUGAUACUGCAGGGCUUGAUUGCGGUCGAGGUUGGCGGAAUUCGUCGUGUAGCGGUGAAAUGCAUAGAUAUGACGAAGAACACCGAUUGCGUAGGCAGCUGACCAGGCCGUAAAUGACGCUCAUGCACGAAAGUGCGGGGAUCGAACAGGAUUAGAUACCCUGGUA